CAAUGAGCCUUAUGCCAAGGAUAUCUAUUUGUCGCUGUCAAAGGAAUUAUUUGAAGUGGUUUGGAUUGGGAUGCCAAGUGAUAUUGUGAAUUAUAUCUUGAUUGUCUGCCCUUUUACAUCCAGUGACCUACAUCGGCUUAUCAGAGAUGUUUUCCAAAUUUUGAAAUGAAUUUAUAGUUGGCGAAUAAUAUGUAGCUCCUUUCAAAUCAUUUCGAGAUUGGAUUGCUUCAGUGUUCAUGUAUGAAUGAAUAUGUAAUCUUCUCUUAUUAUUUGAAGGCUGAAAGUGCAAUUGCUGCUCUCAACUGUAGCGGUGUGGUUCUGGGAUCAUUGCCUAUAAGGGUAAGCCCAUCAAAGACCCCAGUUCGGCCUCGCGCUCCCCGCCUUCCUGUCAACUGAAUCGUCUUGAACCGGACUGAUUUUAGUACCAGGUUAAAUAUAUAUGUUUGGAGUCCAUACACACCCCCAUGUAAAUAGGUUUCCCAUGUUAAUGGGUCUGCCAGUUUAUAUAUGAUAUAGAUUGGCCGCUGCUACGCUUGGGAUCAUUGUAAACCCUAGAGUCAUCAUUUGUUUAUCCUUGGAACUUAUGGUACAUAGAGUUGGAUGGAGCUUUGAGGCUUUGAAAUGAUGUGCAUUAUUACUCACUAAUUUGGACUCGGUUUGUCCCAAAUUGGACUUCUCUUUGCGCAUUCUGGUA